CUUCUUCUCAAUUUCUUGAUUUCUACACCCACCCUAUUUGAUACUCAAACCCCUUCUUUUCUGCUUCUGGUAAUACAGUAGGACAACUUUGUACCAUUUUAUUACCAAAAUUAGAGAAGAAUCAGUGUUUAAGGGGUCGUUUGGAUGCCUGUAAAUGGGGCUAAUUGUAAAUGAUUUUCGGGUAAUUGGUUUAAAGUCUGUGUUUGGAUGCUGAAAAAUGCCUGUAAAUCAUUUACAGCUUUCAGCCUCAUUUGAUUUCCCUGCAAAAAGCUGUGAUUUCAUUUACAGGCUAAAUGGCGUUUGUGUUUGCUUGUGGGCUUGUGUAAUAUUUGGGGAGAACACAACAUGCGGUGUUUUCGGAAUAGAUCAGGACCUUGGGAAGAAGUAUACUGGAAGUCUAAAAGGGAUGUAAUGGAUUGGACAGCUUCUAUCUGUCAUUGUGAUGUUUCCUUUGCUCAAUCAUUAUCAGGGCUUUAAUAUUUGCUUUUCUUAGUUUAUUAUUAUUACUGUUUUGGGUUGUUGUCUGGCAGCUUUUGACGCAGGGAAGGACGUGAGGUCGAGAACCGAGUUCCUCAAGGGGAUAACUGUUCCAAAUCCACAUUACUUCUCUGGGCUCCUCAUAGAGACUUCUUGAAUCCAUGAGGAAAUAACAAGAAAAAUAGAAAAUAAAUUUUAUAAAAUUCGAAAUUGAUUGAUGAUUAAAAUAAACGAGUCUACAACCCUUUAAAUAGGGAUACUAAGCCAUGGAAGAAAUUUCGGAAUCAAACUACGACUAAAACUCUUAGAAAUCGCGACUUACUAUAAAUAGUAAACUUACUAUUUAUUAAUAGAUGGUCGUGCUGUCUACUAGUGCGCAAGGUUUUAGGCCAAAAAUAGUAAGUGUCCUAUUUGGCUUCACCAUGCUGUUCUCCUAAUUAUUCUGGGCACAACUCCUGAAGCCCAAUGGAUGAAGAGUUAUAAUCAAACUAAAACUUACUAUUUAUAGUAAAAAUGGAAUUAAAACAGGGAAACGACUGUUGAUCUGAUGGUAUUUCGCAAAUCUGGCUUGCGCAACCCGGCGUAAUGGGGUUGGGUGGCUAAAGUAGCUCGUCCUAUCCCAAAAUCAAUAACUCAUUUUGGUUUGCAAGAUACGGUCCGGAUCAUCUCUGUCUCCGAUCGUGCCUUUUCUGGUCCAUCUUGGCCAUGAAAUUAUCCGCGACCCGCUCUACAUUAGCUUUGAAUAAAAUCAUUAUCCUUCAAAAAAAAAAAAAAAGUUCGUUAUGUAACAUCAACGAGGUUUCUCCUAAUUCCAAGUGCACCAUCCAUAUGCAGCCACAUGGGCCAACCUGCUACAUGUCAUUGGGCUCCAUUAUGUAGAUGCCUUGGCCCAAUAUCAAGAUACUAACAUAUUGGUGGGCAAUUUAUGUAUGUUGAAUCUGGACUGUUGGGCAUCUAUACUAGUCCCUCUUGAUGAGUUGAUUGGCAUGAUUCUUUGGGUAGGGCGUCCUGUUGCAUGACUAAUGUCCCAUGCAUUUCCAGUUGGUACAUGUUGCAUGUGGGUGUGACAAGGGAGAAAUUCAUGUGGAAUUAUGAUGCAACCCGGUUAACAAGUCAAUGAGAUCUUAACACUCGAAUUGCGAAGAAAUGGACAAGAGUACACCCACAAGAAUAUUUGAGUAGGGAGGGAGAAAUACCUUUACCUCCUACCCCACCGCCCCUUUUAUAAACCUUCAAGACAAUUCCCAUGAAUCUUUAAUGAAGAUCCUCCAACUAUUGAUUGAUUUCAAAUCAAUCUCAAUUGAUUUCAAAAUCAGUCUAUAAUUUUCUUUUAAAGAUAUCAAUUUAUAAACUUUUAAGAUAAUAACAAUCCCACACUAACCAAGAUUUGGCCUAAAAUAGCAAGGAAAAAAACAAAACAAA